ensembl:snRNA U6 U6 spliceosomal RNA
GGGCUCACUUAGCAGCACAUAUACUAAAAUUGGAAUGAUACAGAGAAGAUUAGUAUGGCCCCUGCUCAAGGAUGACACAUGAAUUCAUGACCUUCCAUAUUUAA